GUGAGGAAUUUUCCGCAAUGGGCGAAAGCCUGACGGAGCAAUGCCGCGUGAAGGAUGAAGGCCUAUGGGUUGUAAACUUCUUUUCUCAGAAAAGAAUUAUGACGGUAUCUGAGGAAUAAGCAUCGACUAACUCUGUGCCAGCAGCCGCGGUAAGACAGAGGAUGCAAGCGUUAUCCGGAAUGAUUGGGCGUAAAGCGUCUGUAGGUUGUUUAAAAAGUAUUCUGUCAAAGAUUAGGGCUUAACCCUAGAUAGGCAGAAUAAACUUUUAAGCUAGAGUUUGGUAGAGGCAGAGGGAAUUCCCGGUGGAGCGGUGAAAUGCGUAGAUAUCGGGAGGAACACCAAAGGCGAAGGCACUCUGCUGGGCCAAUACUAACACUGAGAGACGAAAGCGAGGGGAGCAAAUGGGAUUAGAAACCCGUGUAGUCC
rnacentral:rRNA from 1 species